CUUAUUAAAUCUACUAUUAAAGUUCUCACAAGACUCUUAUUUUCACAGCACCCGUUCACUGCAGAUGAUCCAUUGGAAUCAAGCAGGGAGGCAACAACAUCAACAAGGACAAGUAAUGACAGUGGAGUCAAUCAACAAAUUUUGGCUGAAUUAAAAGAGAUUAAGAGUGUUCUUGUGGAAACUCUAACACUUUUAAAAAAUGGAUGCACUCCAUUAAUGACUGCACCAGCACACACUCUCCCUGGAUGCACUUCGGAUUUGCCAGCCCCAGAGUCUUCCCCUGUGGUACCUGCCCCUUCCUCUCUACUGCCUCUUCAUGUAAAGGAGACUAGGAGUAAUUAUAAUGACUGC